rnacentral:lncRNA from 1 species
ACAAAUGUAAAACAAUCUCCAAUUACCCUACAUUUAUCAUUGAAAUCGCAACAAUAAUUAGUUAUAUGAAUAUUAGCUUUCGGGUUUAAACCAUCAUUUAGGUCAUAACCUUAACUUAGCAUCUAACCAUAUAGGUUAACACACUUAACGAAUCUGAAAUCUCACUUCGAGCCAACAUAACUUAAUCAUUCACCUCUAACUUUGAAAACACCACAUUUGGUUUCAUUUUAUAACUUAUUUAACAAUUAUUUAAAAAUCUUUUACACUUUGUAUUACAAUGCAUGACAACCCGUUAUUGUAGUCUAUAUUAUGUCUCGACAUCAUUAACGUGCAUACUAGACUAACAUAAGUCCGAUACACAUAACCUGCAAUUAGGCAGAAGUCACUGCCUGGGCUCAGGGCACGGUGCAACUGCGCUGUCCCUUGCCUUGGCACCGGCGCAGCUGCGCUGGUGCUCGACUGCAGAAAACCCAAUGGCGCAGCUGCGCUUGGCACUGGGUUUUUUGCCUUGGCACCAGCGCAGCUGCGCUAGUGCACAGACAGACGCAGACUCGGCAUGAACAGUAGCCAUUUUUAGCCCAACUAACACGAAUUUCACCCACCAAACAGUGAAAUUAACAUCUAAAAUUGGUACAUACUAUUACAAACAUGAUUACUAACAUUUACAACCAAUUAACACAAUUUAUCAUCAACUAAAACUAGUUUAAUUUCUCAAAAAUUCCAUAUUUUCAUAUAAAACUCCAUUUUUGAACUUCUUCCACAAAAAUCGCCACUGACAUCUCAAAACUUGGCCAAAACACUUAAUUCAAAUUACGUUAUGAUCGUUUCUUAAUAAGCUAGCAUAAACAAGACUCAAUUUAUAAUUUAGCAUACAAAUUGGCCACUAAAAUUGGUACUAUUCACAAGCCAUAUGGAAAAAAUAUACAUUAUCAUACUUUUCUUCCUUUUUAAACUGUAAUUAGCAUACGAAUUCUUGCUUUUCAUACAAACUCAAACAUCAUAACUAUAUAUAAUCAUCAUACACAGGUUACAUAACAACAAUUUACAGAAACUAGAAUUCACAGAGUUUGAAAGCUUCACAAUUUUGCCGUAAAACCUAUAUAUAUAUAUAUAUAUAUAUAUAUAUAUAUAUAUAUAUAUAUAUACACACACACACACACACAAUAUCAAAUUAUAGAGAAUUACCUUCUUAUGCUUAGACAAUCCUUGCUAACCAACUGAAAUUGCUGUGAAUUUCUUAGGUUUCCUCUCAAUCUCCUCUCCUCUGUGUUUUCUGUAUUGUCUAGCCUUAGGAAAACAAAUAAGACGCGUAUGAAAAAUAUAAACUGACUCCCACUAACGUCAUGUACAAAACCAAUAGGUAGCGUCAGUUGAAAAAAUCAAAGGCCACAAGGCCAUGUUUGGCUAACCAUUUAUUUCCCAACCAAAUUAUUAUUAUAAUAUUAUAUUAUAUAGUUUCCACUUGUCAUACUUUAUUUAAAUAAUUUUAGUUUAACUAAUUUAAAUAACUAAUAAUAAUAAUAAAAACCUUAUUAUCGUUAUACUUAUAAUUAAUAAAUAAUUAUAUAUAUCUAAUUUAAUUAAUAAAUUAGAAACAUCACUUUAUUUAUUUUAUUUGUUUCCAUUAAAUUAAACAAUUCAUUUAAUUUAAUUAUUUUCUUAAAUAUUAAGCAAUUGAUUUAAUUUAAUUACUUCCUUAAAUUAAAUCCAUUAGAUAAAAUUAUCAUUAUUCAAAUUAAUACUAAUUAAUUUAGUUACCAAAUUAAUUCACCAUAAUUCAUCAAUUAUUUAUUUCCUUCCAUUAAUAAAUUAUUUAAAAUAUUUAUUUAAUUCAAUAAAUAUUUAAAUUAAAUUACAAAUUUCUCGAUCGUUACAGGAAUACUCAAUACUCAGACAAUGACAUUCUCCCCCAAAUCACUCAUGGAUGAAAGGAUUGCAUGAAGGAUAAGGGGGACUUGGUAAUUGGUUGGUGAUUGGCAUCAUUGUGCCCACUCCCUCCAUGAUCAUAGUCUAGCAAAGCUUGGAAGAAAAAUGAAGAACAUAGGCCUAAGCCUUUUGUUCAAACACGUGACUGAGAAUUUAGAAGCAAAUGGGACUCUCAAUUUGGGACAAUCUAAUAUAACUCAGCAUUCUUGUAUACUCUUACACACUCUCACUCUUAUGUUAUAUUUUAAUACACAUAUCAACCAUAUAUUAUAACCUAAUGUCACAAUAUGACUUAACAUUUCAAGGUAGUAGAUGUUAUGCAACAUACAUAUAAUUCAUGUACAUUCUAUUUUAAUGUCUACCCACAUGUAUAUGGCUACUUACACAUUUCAUGAUAUAUUUAUACUAUAUAGUUUCAAUAUGCAUAAUCAUAUUAAUUGCUUCAUUCAUAAAACUUAAUAUAUAGUUACGUAAUGUCACACUACACUAUAUAGUAUAGUUGUAUUAUUGCUCACAUACACAUAACUGUCAAUAUAAUAUUAUUAUAUUAAUAACUUACUUAUUUAUGUCAAGUAAAUAAAUGAUUCCCUUCCUUGAUUAAUUACCACCAAUAUUAAUUAAUCCAUUUAUUAUUGAUGAAAUUAUGGAUUUUCAUAACCAUUAACUAUCGAUGAAAUUCUUAUUAUAUUUAUAGAUAUAUUGCAAAUAAUAAUAAUCAUAUUAUAAAUUAAUUACCAAGUAAUCAAUAUUCUACCGCAAUUAAUUAAUAUUAAUUAAUGGUUUACCAAUUCCGUUGUCGGACACAACAUACUUUAUUUCAUUGAAAUACACUCCUAUCAUAUGGUUUUAUUUAUGUCACACAUAUAACAUUAAUGUCCCAAUACAGUGCUACAGUAGAAAGUAACCAACUCCAACUGACUACUGGCGCAGCUGCGCCAGUUUGUACUACUGGAACGGCGCAGCUGCGUCGUGCCCUGACAGUGCCAAGACUAGUUUAGCUUCAGCUCGUGUCAAUCUUCAUCGCCAAACUCGUUAUAUAUGACAUGAAUUGAUGUCCACAAAGUGUUACUAUAAGUUUACGAGCGUAUUUGAUUACUUAUAUGAUAUCACACGUUCAACGCGAUUAUACUUCCAAAUUCCCAUUUUAAUUUGCUUAAUGGAUUUCCUCGUUUCAUGAUAUGUCACACAAGGCAUUCCACAAUCCUCAUUAUCAAAUCACGCUUCUUAAUACGCAUUGACCUAGCACGAAUCAAUUGUAUUAACCAACUCAUAAAACAAUAACACUUAUAUUCACAUAAAUAGUAUUUCCAUUAAUAUAUUCAUUUUAUAAUACGUAGAAAUUCUCGGGUAUUACAUCCUCCCCCACCCCUUAUAAAAAUUUCGUCCCGGAAUUGCUACAAGGUUAUACAAAUAGAUGGGGAUAAUCCCUCAUCAUCCUAUCUUCUAACUCCCACAUAGCCUCCUCGACAUCGUGGUUAUGCCAAAGUACUUUUACAGAAGAAAUGACUUAAUUUCUCAAGUUUUGUUCUUUCCUAUCAAGAAUUUGGACAGAAAUUUCUUUGUACGCUAAAUUCUUCUCCACUUGAAUGGGUUCAUAAGAAAUCAUGUGCUUGUAGUCAGGCUUGUACAGACACAACACGGAUAUAUGAAACACGUUAUGGAUGUGCUCCAACUCAGAUGGUAGUGCAACUUUGUAUGCUACUUCGCCCACUCGCUUUAGUAUCUCGAACGGCCCUAUGAAUCUUGGACUCAGUUUCCCUUUCUUGCUGAAAUAGAUCCUUCCAUGGAGAUACCUUCAAGAAUACAAAACUGCCGAUUUCAAAAUCUCGGUCUUGCCGAUGCAAAGCUGCAUACUUCUUCUGACGAUCUUGAGCUGCCACUAGUCUAGCCCUUAUCACUGUCACCACAUCCGCGGUUUGUUGUACUAACUCUGGUCCGAGUAUUCGUCGUUCCCCGACUUCAUCCCAACAUAAUGGCGUUCUGCACUUCCUCCUGUAAAGAGCUUAGUACAGUGGCAUGACGAUACUCGUAUGGUAACUAUUAUUAUACGCAAAUUCAACUAAGGGUAGGUGGUCGUCCCAAUUCCCCUUGAAGUCCAUCACACAAGUUCUAAGCAUAUCCUCUAGCGUUCGUAUUGUUCGCUCACUUUGUCCGUCUGUCUGAGGAUGAUAAGCAGUACUUAACCUUAACUGUGUUCCCAUCCUCUCUUGCAAGCUUUUUUAGAAUUUUAACGUGAAACGCGGGUCUCGGUCAGAAACAAUCGAUACCAGCACUCCAUGUCGUGAAACAAUCUCCUUUACGUACAGACUCGCUAACUGAUUCAAACAGUAGCGGAUCUUGAUCGGUAGAAAAUGUGCUGUAACGCCCCCCAAAAUCGGGACUAUUUUCCUUCCCGAUCUUGUGCGUUAAUAUUAUCCUGUUCUAGCUUUAAAACAUUAUUUAAUGUUAAAAUAGUUAAAAAUGCGGAAUAAUUUUUUUUUCUUUCUUUCCAUUCAUUCAUUCCCUAAAUCGCAACCUUUACAAUUCUUCUUUAUACUAGAAUCAUAUUUAUUACAUGAUUUAUUUAACCUGAGUAGAUAUGGAUAUAUGUACAAUUCAUUAUUUCAAACAUAUUCCUAAUUCAGAACAAAUGAUCUUCAUCUAUUGAAUUAUUCAAAGAUUUACUUCUUUGUGGUUUACACAUGUAAAUACCAUCAAAUGAUUCAACACCAUCUCAAUUAAAUCACUAGUCUUCUUUUCAUGCGCUCCUAAUCACGAUCAUAGCUUUAACCUGCAAAUUAAGCAAGAUUGAGCACGGCGGCCCAGCAAGUCUAACAGUCUAUCAUGCAUCACAUAUCACAUAUGUUCACAUUCAGUUCAUGCAUUUAUAUUCUUGGGGUUCAAGCAUAUUACAAAUGCAUCAUCACAUUUAUAUCCUGCUGGUAGCAACAUAAAUAUCAUAGCAUACUACACAUGUCAUGUACAUGUCAUUCAUUGCACAUAUAUAUUGAGUUCCCCGACUCAAUUCAAUAAUUAGUCAUAAUUUGACAUUCAUCAUUCACAAAGCAAAUAAUGUAGUUCAUAGGUAUUACAUACUUAUAAACAUAAAUCAUACUAACAGUUAAUCAUAGCAAUUAUAAGUUCACAUAAAUAAACUGAGAAACUUGCCUUGUUCAAUGACUAUUGAUACAAACUUUAGUUUAACUUCACUUCACGAAUCCUACACAGUUAUGUUCACAUGUAUGCAUACAUUAGUCACACAUUCAUAUCCCAUAACCUGUAUAGCUAACAAACAUUCACAAAAACUAUAUCAAUAUCUGAUAUUCUUAUUUCUGAGAAACUUCCAUAUUCCUUUAAAAUAUUUUAGGUUUCGACUUAAUAUAGCCAUACAUUCUCAAAAAGUUCUAACACAACUUUUAAAAUGUCAAUUCAUUACAUUUACAAUUUAUAACCCUUUUUAAAAGUAUUUACAGACUUUACACGCAUUUAUAUGUAGACUUGUUGUCAUAUAGUGCAUCUGUGCCUUUACUAUGCGUAAUUAUGGCUUAUUUCCGCUUUUGUGAGUAAUUUAAAUGCUAUUCCAUACGAAUAUUAGUUUUCUAGGCUUAAUGCAUUCAUAAUACAUUACUUUUCCCCCUUUCAUGUACACAUGAGGUAUAUAUAUGCUUUUGCAUAUACGCCUCUCUUCUAAUGUCAAACCUUGCCUCAUUUGCUUGGCUUGUAGGGUAGACAUAUGCUAUGUGUAUGUCUUUUACCUACACAUAGCUUAUUUAUGUCAAAAGUUGAGUUUUCAACUCCGUUUGCAUAAUCAUCGCCUUGUAUUUUGAAAACCGUUUAGUUUCAAGUACAAUUUUAAAAUAACUUUGCACACUGUCCACGUAUUCCUGAUAUAUGGAUAUAUUAUCCAUAUAUAUGUAAACUCAUGUUUACAUAUCGUUUUUAUAGAUUUUGGAAUGCUCUGAAUGCAUAUACUUGUCAUAUGGUUGUUAGACUGUGUUUUAUAUCUGUCUUGGGGCAUCAGGACAUGCCUAACUUCUUUUUCCAACUUUUAAUAAUUAUAAUUACAUAUAAAAACAUAUUAGUUGUGCGUCCAUGUCAUAUAACCUGUAUAGUUAUAUAUAUUACAUUUCCAUAUUGGCCAUAUCAAUAGCUUUCAUUCUUGUUUUUGAAAAACUCUUAUAUUCUCUUCAAAAACUUUUAUUCUUUUACUUACGAUAGUCAUUUAUCGCUUAAUAGUCUUUGACAUGGCUUUUAAAUAUUCUAUGAUUUUGGUUUAUAAACCAUUUGUAAUUUAUUACAUAGUUAUCUCGCACUUUUAUACAUAUUCUAAGUAUAUAAAGUGAACUUGUAGUUUCCUUUAUACUUUGAGCAUAGAUAUAGUCUAUAUAGAUAAAUUAUAGCUUCCAUACUAUUUUAUAGACUCAUUUCCAUAAACUAUCGCAUUAAAAACCACCGCGUUUCAUUGGAACGCCGAAACAGCCCAUUGACCCAAUAAUGCCGACAACCAAGCCUUACUUGAUUGGGCAGCCCCAAGCUCACGACACCUACCUUUACUAAUUUUUUUAUCUUCUAAACUACCAACUCAAUUGUAUUGAAUUGUAAAUACUUUAUAACUCAUGUACUUGUUUCUUUAGGAAUUUAGAAACUAAAAUUGAUGGAUGAUUUAUCCACUUAAAUCGCAAAAGCCAAAAUAGCUCAUCAAAUAGCCACAACUGAUGUGUUACAGCUGACUGCUGCUGCCGUUGGGCAGCAGCUCCCUCCUUCUUGACUCUCGUUUCGCUAAUUUCUAUCCUCCGUUAAUGAUCCGUUUAUAUUGAAGUUUGGAUGUAAUAUAGGUGGUAUACCCACCUAUUUUAGAAAAAUACUGACUGUAUGAUUUGAGCAACUAAACAACGAAAGAACAAGCUAAAACAAUCCCAGCAAAUUGCAGCAGCACGGCGUAGCACCGUGCGCGCGCACCUGCACAUAGCUGCUGAUGGGCUGCCUUGCAGUCUUCAUGACUAACACAACCCCUUUGCGAUUUUAUUAUGUCCAGCUCGCACGUCGGAUAGCUACCAAAUUUUAAUAUGAUUUAGAUUCCAUAGAAGGCUAUUUUUAAAAAAUACGAGUCCCCCAUUUCAGACUCUUUAAGCUGCUCAAAACAGACUCCAAAACUGGCUUGACACACUAGUUUUUAAUUUUUUCCAGCUUUACCCUCUCUCGCUAAAAUAGUCAUAACUAAUUCGUUUUAAAACAUUUUUGAGUGAUUCUUGCGCCCACGCGAAGCUAACUUCCGGGGCUACGACUCUUAUUCAAUAAACUUUUCCAUGUUCUGCACCCAUAAUUCCAGAAAAUCCGCGCAAGGGACAGGUUCAAACCUGAUUUCUAAAUUUUGGACAGAUUCGACACACUCACUUUGGAAUGCCAUAACUCCCUCCUCCGAAGUCGGAAUUAUUCCGUUUCGGAGUCUAUGGAAAGCUUAUUCAACGUACUAUAAUACCCCAAAAGCCCAGAAUUUUCUGGAAACUCUAGCUAGCCCCGAAUUUGUCCUUAGGGUCAACAGUUCACAAUUUUUUUCGGUUUCUAACAUGUUUUACUAAAGCCUUUACUAUAAAUUCGUUUUAGUUCCUUUUUGAUUCAUUCCAAUUGGAUUAUUUCCAGAACUCGUAGGAGCACAACCCACCAUUAUAAAACUUAAAUUUUCAAUUCUAUACCCUCAUAAACUUUGGCUCAAGAACAGCCCCCUAAAACAGUUUUAACUAAUUUGUUUUACAUGUUUUACUAAGAAAUCCGUCAAGAUUUCGUUACAACGGAUUUUUCCCUCGUUCCAAUUGGGUUGUGUUCAUAACUCAUAAGAGUACCACACAUUAUCCCAGAACUUAAUUUUUCAGUUUCAGAGCGCAACACAAAUUGGUCCAAAAUAGUCCACUAGUUGUCCAAUUUAAGCUUAUUAGUCUCUAAGAGGCCUUAAAGCAAACACCAUAUGUGCAUCAGUUUUAGAAACAAGUUUCACACGUUUGUACAUGGUUUUACCCCAAAAAUUUCUUUCUUUAUAAUUCCUAAUGACCUGCAUAAAGUCCCUUAACCAACACAGCUCAACCAAAACCAACAUAACAGUUUUAUCAUCAUUCACAUAUGUAUUUACUAACUUCAUAUAAAUAUAGCAUGAACAUAUGGCUUACCUUGCUUACUUAAUGUUCAUGUUGAAAUUCUAGCUUUGAUGAUCAAUUAUAGAAAUCCUUUUAUUGCUAUGUGCUUCAGUUCUUCUUCAAGUCAGUACAACACUUCAAUUCCUUGCUAAUUUCGUUGGGUCUAGCCAAAAUUGAGAGAAAUUUGGUGAAGGUUUGAGAAUUGUGCAAACUUAAUAGUUAGAGAAAAAGAGAGAUGAACUGGAACGAAUUGAAGAGGGAAUGAGGACUGCAAAUAGUUUUUUUUGAGUGUUUAACUCUUUCUAACUUCCUUGCUCUCCUCUCUCUUUCUCCCAUUCACGACAACAAGAAGGGAGGAGAAAGAUAAAUAACGCCCAGCUUGGUCACCAAGCUUGCAA